AAAAGCUUUCAACCACGGAUCUCUUGGUUCUGGCAUCGAUGAAGAACGCAGCGAAAUGCGAUAAGUAAUGUGAAUUGCAGAAUUCAGUGAAUCAUCGAAUCUUUGAACGCACAUUGCGCCCCUCGGUAUUCCGGGGGGCAUGCCUGUUCGAGCGUCAUU
rnacentral:rRNA from 1 species